rnacentral:rRNA from 1 species
AUGGAAGAGACUGGGAGUAACAUUACAACCAACCAACUUAAAGAAUAUGUAUGGAAGACACUGAAGAGUGGAAAGGUUGUAGUGAUUAGAGAGAAGCUUGCAGAACUGUAUGAAUCUGAACAACAAUGGUUGAGAGCAGCACAAAUGCUUAGUGGCAUUGACUUGGACUCAGGAAUCAGGAUGCUUGAUGACACGAACAAAUUAUCCAAGUGCGUCCAGAUUGCACGACUCUAUUUGGAGGAUGAUGAUGAUGCAGUGAAUGCUGAAGCCUUUAUCAACAAAGCCUCGUUUUGGGUCACAAACAGCAACCAGGAAAUUCUGAACUUACAAUACAAGGUCUGCUAUGCGAGAAUUUUAGAUCUAAAGCGUAAAUUCUUGGAAGCUGCACUUUGA